CCUACGGGGGGCAGCAGUGGGGAAUAUUGCGCAAUGGGCGAAAGCCUGACGCAGCGACGCCGCGUGAGGGAUGAAGGUCUUCGGAUCGUAAACCUCUGUCAGCAGGGAAGAACGGUCACUGUGCUAAUCAGCAGUGAAUUGACGGUACCUGCAAAGGAAGCACCGGCUAACUCCGUGCCAGCAGCCGCGGUAAUACGGAGGGUGCGAGCGUUAAUCGGAAUUACUGGGCGUAAAGCGCUCGUAGGCGGUAUGUCAAGUCAAGGGUGAAAUCCCCGCGCUCAACGUGGGAACUGCCUUUGAAACUGGCAGACUGGAGUGUGUGAGAGGAUAGUGGAAUGCCAGGUGUAGGAGUGAAAUCCGUAGAUAUCUGGAGGAACAUCAGUGGCGAAGGCGGCUUACUGGACUGUAACUGACGUUGAGGCUCGAAAGCGUGGGGAGCAAACAGGAUUAGAUACCCCUGUAGUC
rnacentral:rRNA from 1 species